rnacentral:rRNA from 1 species
UACGUAGGUGGCAAGCGUUGUCCGGAAUUAUUGGGCGUAAAGCGCGCGCAGGCGGCCUCUUAAGUCUGAUGUGAAAUCUUGCGGCUCAACCGCAAGCGGCCAUUGGAAACUGGGGGGCUUGAGUACGAGAAGAGGAGAGUGGAAUUCCGACGUGUAGCGGUGAAAUGCGUAGAUAUGUGGAGGAACACCAGUGGCGAAGGCGACUCUCUGGUCUGUAACUGACGC